rnacentral:lncRNA from 1 species
AUAAAAGUCUUACUCUCUUUAUCACUUUUUUAUUUUCUUUCUUUCAAUUUUUUACCACUUUCUUUUACUCUAUUAUUUACCAAUCAAACCCUAUGGCUCCGAUUGUACUACAAGAAAUAUGAAUAUUGGUAGCAGUUAACCGUAGCACGAAUUCACGAAGUGAUACUAAUACAGUCAAAAUUGGAUCAUAAUUCACUAAAUUCGUGCUAGCAAAGAUUUUCAUUAAGCUGAGACCCAAAAAUGACUUUUAUAGCGGGAUAUUUAUGUUGGAGCCAAAACACUUACCGAAAUUUUCUGAUUUUGGCGGAUCUACACUUUUUUUUUUUGCUAAAGUCAUUUUUUCAUUCAUCACCCACCAAAAAAAAAAAAUUAUUCUCAUCAAUCUCUCAUCGAUCUUCUGUUCUUUCUAUUUUCAGAUCUCAUCUCCCCUCUUUUCUUAAUCAUCUGUCUCUCUAUCUUACUCUCCUAACCUCACUCA